rnacentral:pre_miRNA from 1 species
AGAGGAGAGGAAAAGGGAGCCAAAGUUGGGGGAAGGCAUAGGCAUGGGAUAGUAGGGAAGAAGUGAUAACAGCAUAUGCUUAUUAUGGUGCUUCUUCUUACCUACACCUCCCAUGCCUACGUUUUCCCUCUAUUUCUCCCUCUUCCCUUACUUU